GUAAAAAAAAAUAUAUAUAUAUAUCAACAGUCGUUACAGUCCCAUUAGUUUUCUCUGCAGCCUCGUUUGAAUGUCGCCGUUGCGCCAUUUGUACGGAAUGGAGUAACGCUUUGAACACACCGACUGUGUUAUGCAUCACUGAUGUGCAGGUACCUUACUUGUGCAGGUACCUUUUGCAGAUGGUCGCAUGCGGUUGGACACAUGGAGGAGAGAAUUUUCAAUUUCGCAGUAUCCUCAAAACCGUGUCUUUUUGACACAACUGCUGACAGCUACAGGGACAAACACAAAAAAAUGCUGCUCGUUGACAAGUGUCCACAAUAGUAGGAUUGCCAGGUCAGUUUAGUAGUGAGCUUGUGCUAGAUGUGGCUAGUUAACCUAGCCAAUGAGGUGUGUAAGAAAGUCAAAUAAAUUAUGCUAGUUACUACCCCAGAACUUUACCAAACAAUCAUGUUUGAAAGAGUGAGUGUGUAUGCUAGAUUAAUAGCAAUGGUAGACACUACUGAUAAUUUGGUCAGAUAAGUGUGUGUGUGUGUGUGUGUAUGUGUACAGUAGGUGACCUGUCCAUGACAGCUAUAGUUAUGCUAGGUAAUGGUUUGGCUUAUCAUGUUCAUGUCUAUGUAGAAGAAGACUGUAGGAGGAAGUGGAGAGGACUCAGGGACAGGUAUCAGAGAGAGAGAGAGAGAGAAGGGCAGAGAAAGAGAAGAGGCCUGGGUCAGCAGCUUCAGGCCAGCAGCCUUGGCGCUUCUGCCACAUUCUUUCUUUUCUGGAUCCAUUUAUUGUGCCUAGGGCAACGAGUGACAAUUUUACAGGCAGACCCUCUACUACGUCAUCCACAAGUGGUCGCCACCGGUGCAUCAAGACCCUCAACGUCAUCUACAAGUGCGACCAUCGCCUCCACCGGUGCAGCGAGACCCUCUACAACGUCUACAUAAUCUACGAGUAUGACCACCACCGGUGCAGCCAUGGAAGAUGAUGAAAUGGAUAAAGCACCUCUGGAUCUAGGACCACCUGAGAUUAAACCUCACGGAAGUGACCACUGAGGACCUCGUUGAACAGGAUGUGGCCGUGGAGAGAAACAGAGAGAGAAACGAAGAGGAACAACGUCACACCAGGCGUCAUCGGAGGUACCAGCCCCCAGAUCCACUCAACUCAUUCCAGCAGAGGCUCCUCCAAUCCGUCGAGAGGGAUGCAGCCCAACCUGAUGCUCACAGGAAGGAGGAUGAGGAGACCCUCUUUGCCAUGAGCCUGGUGCCAACACUGAAGAGGCUGCCUCAGCAAAGAAAAGCAGCAGUCAAGGUUAAAAUGUAUCAGCUGCUUUUCGAAGCCGAGUUCAAAUAAAUGGAGUCAAUUUAGCCGACCAGCUCACAGGAAGGACAGGAAGAGGAGAGGAAGGACAGGGAGAGGAGAGGAAGGACAGGAAGGACAGGAAGAGGAGUUGUCUGGGUGUUGUUUUGACCUCCCUCAUUGUACCUUUCUUUUCACACACGUCA